rnacentral:rRNA from 1 species
AAAACGACUCUCGACAACGGAUAUCUCGGCUCUCGCAUCGAUGAAGAACGUAGCAAAAUGCGAUACUUGGUGUGAAUUGCAGAAUCCCGUGAACCAUCGAGUCUCUGAACGCAAGUUGCGCCCGAAGCCAUUAGGCCGAGGGCACGUCUGCCUGGGCGUCACGC